GACGAGCCACACAAACGUUAUCCGGAAUUAUUGGGCGUAAAGCGCGCGCAGGUGGUUUCUUAAGUCUGAUGUGAAAGCCCACGGCUCAACCGUGGAGGGUCAUUGGAAACUGGGAGACUUGAGUGCAGAAGAGGAAAGUGGAAUUCCAUGUGUAGCGGUGAAAUGCGUAGAGAUAUGGAGGAACACCAGUGGCGAAGGCGACUUUCUGGUCUGUAACUGACACUGAGGCGCGAAAGCGUGGGGAGCAAACAGG
rnacentral:misc_RNA from 1 species